CAAAUGGAGAGUUUGAUCCUGGCUCAGGAUGAACGCUGGCGGCAUGCCUAAUACAUGCAAGUCGAACGGAACUUACUUGUUAAGUUCAGUGGCGAACGGGUGAGUAACACGUAGAUAACCUGCCCAUACCCGGGGGAUACGCUUUGGAAACGAAGUCUAAAACCCCAUCCGAAAGAACAAGGCAUCUUGUCCUUUUUAAACAGGCCAUCAAGCCUGGGGGAUGAAUGGAUCUGCGGUGCAUUAGCUGGUUGGUAAGGCAACGGCUUACCAAGGCGAUGAUGCAUAGCCGGCCUGAGAGGGCGAUCGGCCACACUGGGACUGAGACACGGCCCAGACUCCUGCGGGAGGCAGCAGUAGGGAAUUUUCGUCAAUGGGCGCAAGCCUGAACGAGCAAUGCCGCGUGAGUGAGGAAGGUCUUCGGAUCGUAAAGCUCUGUUGCAGGUCAAAAAGGAAGGCAAGAGGAAAUGCUUGUCUUUUGAUGGUAGCCUGCCAGAAAGUCACGGCUAACUACGUGCCAGCAGCCGCGGUAAUACGUAGGUGGCGAGCGUUAUCCGGAAUGAUUGGGCGUAAAGGGUGCGCAGGCGGCGUGACAAGUCUGAAGUGAAAGGUACGGGCUCAACCUGUACAGGCUUUGGAAACUGUCACGCUAGAGGACAGGAGAGGGCGGUGGAACUCCAUGUGUAGCGGUAAAAUGCGUAGAUAUAUGGAAGAACACCAGUGGCGAAGGCGGCCGCCUGGACUGUAACUGACGCUCAGGCACGAAAGCGUGGGGAGCAAAUAGGAUUAGAUACCCUAGUAGUCCACGCCCUAAACGAUGAGGAGCAGGUGCCGGGGGUA
rnacentral:rRNA from 1 species